UUCCAAUCGGUUGAGCUCGGAUCAGGUAGGGAUACCCGCUGAACUUAAGCAUAUCAAUAAGCGGAGGAAAAGAAACCAACAGGGAUUGCCUCAGUAACGGCGAGUGAAGCGGCAACAGCUCAAAUUUUAAAGCUGGCGUCUUCGGCGCCCGCGUUGUAAUUUGGAGAGGCAUCUUCGGUUUGGGCGCCAGCCUAUGUUCCUUGGAACAGGACGUCACAGAGGGUGAGAAUCCCGUGCUUGGCUGGCUGUCCCUUGCCAUGUGAAGUGCCUUCGACGAGUCGAGUUGUUUGGGAAUGCAGCUCAAAAUGGGUGGUAAAUUCCAUCUAAAGCUAAAUAUUGGCGGGAGACCGAUAGCGCACAAGUAGAGUGAUCGAAAGAUGAAAAGCACUUUGAAAAUAGAGUUAAAAAGUACGUGAAAUUGUUGAAAGGGAAGCGCUUGAGACCAGACUCGGCCGGAGAUGAUCAGCCGUCCUUCUGGGCGGUGCACUUGUCUCCGGUCGGGCCAGCAUCGGUUGAGACGGCGGGAUAAAGGCCCGGGGAAUGUGGCUCCUUUCGGGGAGUGUUAUAGCCCUGGGCGCAAUGCCGCCAGC
rnacentral:rRNA from 1 species